rnacentral:lncRNA from 1 species
CACUCUUCUUGACCAGGCUGGAGAGUAAUGGCUCAAUCUUGGCUCACUGCAACCUCUGUCUCCCAGAUUCAAGUGAUUCUCCUGCCUCAGCCUCCUAAGUAGCUGGAUUACAGGCAUGUGCUACCACACCUGGCUAAUUUUGCAUUUUCAGUAGAGACAGGGUUUCCAGAUAUUGUUCAAGCUGCUCUUGAACUCCCAAUCUCAGGUGAUCCACUCGCCUAAUCUUUAUUCAGACUUUAUGUCUAAUGGACUGUUUUUUUUUGUUUGUUUUUAAGAGAUGGGUUCUUGCUACAUUGUUCAGGCUGCUGUGGAACUCCUGGGCUCAAGAGAUCCUCCCAACUCAGUCUCCAGAGUAGCUGGGACCAAAGCAAUGGUAAAGUGCCAAGAAGAAGCAAAGGAAUGGAAAGAGACUUGUCGGGGAGGACAAAGUUACAGUUACAUAGCAGAAGUAAGUAUUGGUGUACCAUUGAAUAGCAUGAUGGCUAGAGUUAACGACAAUGUAUCUUAUAUUUCAAAAUAGCUAGAAGAGAGGUUUUUUAAUGUUGUCAUCACAAAGAAAUGCUAAAUGUUUAAGGUGAUGAAUAUGCUAAUUGCCCUGAUUUAACAAUUAUAUACUUUAUAUAUGUAUUAAAAUGUCAUGUUGCACUCUAUAAAUAUAUAUAAUUAUUAUGUCAAUCUUGCACUCAAAAAAUUACCUAAGCUUUUUGUUUUUCUUAUGUUACUAAGACAAAGUAAUGUUUGAGAAAUAUAGAAGUCUAUUAGGCUAUUUUCCAUCAGAUAGUCACAUAUCCUUAGAGCCUUGAUACCUAAUAGACAUUUGUUUUUUUUCUCCAUGUAAAUAAAGCUUGAUUUAUUUGCUAAGUUUAUCCUGCUAAAACAAUCUCUAUGUGAAUUCUGUAAAACACAGAAAUGGUAAACUGAGAGUCUCAUGUUUGCAUGUAGUUUGGUAUUUUGGCAUAUGACUUGUAAUAUGAUUGGAACAUACAAGCAAUAUAUCAAAGUUCUUCGCAGAAGAAUGGUAGGGGGUAGAUUCUUGAACACAGAACCCAAAGAUUCAGCUCAAUGCACACUGGCAACUGAGAAACAACUGUACAGUAUAUGACACUGUAAAUUGCUGUUAAAGCAAUGUUUUUGGUCAACUUGAAAAAAAUUUGUGAGAAUUUUCUAAUGAUUACUUUUUUCUGUUACACACUGACAACAUUUUCAUAAACUAUUUACAAUUUUAAAUAAAAAUGGUAGAAACAAAUUGUUUUUUUCCAUAAUAAAAUUCACAAAAUAUUUUCUGUUGCUGAGUAUAAGUUGCUUGGUCAUAUCAAUUCACAAAUACCUUGAAAAUGAUCGUAUCUUUAUGUUUGCAUUUUUUGUUUUUAUGUUCACAGUUCAAAUGAAAGGUUUGAUUAUUCUUUAGUAAGUGAUACACUUGAAAUAGAGCUCAAGGAUCUGAACUGCUCACAAUUCAUGUACUUUAAAAAUAAAUUCCAAAUAAGCUAUUAUUGAUA